rnacentral:misc_RNA from 1 species
UUGACCUAUAAAAAUCUCUUGCAAUUGAUACAUGAUUUGUUCAUUGUUGGAAUUGACACUUCUUCAACAACAGUAUAAUGGGCAAUGUCAGAAAUGAUGAAAAAUCCAAGAAUUUUAAAGAAAGCACAGGAUGAAAUAAGGCAAGCUUUUAAAGGGAAGAAAACAAUCCGGGAAGCAGACGUUCAGCAAUUGAAGUAUUUACCAUUAGUUCUAAAAGAAACUUUAAGGCUACAUCCUCCAGCACCAUUGUUACUUCCAAGGGAAAGCAGAGAAAGUUGAGAGAUUGAUGGGUAUGAAUUGCCUGUCAAAACCAAGAUCAUUGUGAAUGCCUGGGCAAUUAGGAGAGAUCCGGUGACUUGGACUGAUCUUGACACCUUUCAACCAGAAAGAUUAAUUGACAGUUCAUUGGAUUUUAAAGGGAUAAAUUUUGAAUUAAUCCCAUUUGGAGCUGGAAGGAGAAUUUGUCUAGGCAUAGCUUUUGGUUUGGCAAAUAUGGAGCUUCCUCUGGCAAGGCUACUUUACCAUUUUGAUUGGAAAUUGCCAAAUGGAAUCACACCAGAAAAUUUAGACAUGACAGAAGCCUUUGGAGCCACAGUUGGAAGAAAGAAUGGUUUGCAGCUGAUUCCCAUUCCUCACAAUACCUCAAAGGAUGAAUCUAGCCAAAACUUGGAGGCCAUAGAAGUUCUCAGUUAAAGGAUCCAGAAAAAUUUUCAAUUCCCUUACAACUUCCAUCACUUGAUUGUAUACAUAAUGUAUGUAUUUGAAACUUGCGAGGCGG